GAGUAGGGCGGGACACGUGGUAUCCUGUCUGAAUAUGGGGGGACCAUCCUCCAAGGCUAAAUACUCCUGACUGACCGAUAGUGAACCAGUACCGUGAGGGAAAGGCGAAAAGAACCCCGGCGAGGGGAGUGAAAAAGAACCUGAAACCGUGUACGUACAAGCAGUGGGAGCACAGAGCAAUCUGUGUGACUGCGUACCUUUUGUAUAAUGGGUCAGCGACUUAUAUUCUGUAGCAAGGUUAACCGAAUAGGGGAGCCGAAGGGAAACCGAGUCUUAACUGGGCGUUAAGUUGCAGGGUAUAGACCCGAAACCCGGUGAUCUAGCCAUGGGCAGGUUGAAGGUUGGGUAACACUAACUGGAGGACCGAACCGACUAAUGUUGAAAAAUUAGCGGAUGACUUGUGGCUGGGGGUGAAAGGCCAAUCAAACCGGGAGAUAGCUGGUUCUCCCCGAAAGCUAUUUAGGUAGCGCCUCGUGAAUUCAUCUCCGGGGGUAGAGCACUGUUUCGGCAAGGGGGUCAUCCCGACUUACCAACCCGAUGCAAACUGCGAAUACCGGAGAAUGUUAUCACGGGAGACACACGGCGGGUGCUAACGUCCGUCGUGAAGAGGGAAACAACCCAGACCGCCAGCUAAGGUCCCAAAGUCAUGGUUAAGUGGGAAACGAUGUGGGAAGGCCCAGACAGCCAGGAUGUUGGCUUAGAAGCAGCCAUCAUUUAAAGAAAGCGUAAUAGCUCACUGGUCGAGUCGGCCUGCGCGGAAGAUGUAACGGGGCUAAACCAUGCACCGAAGCUGCGGCAGCGACGCUUAUGCGUUGUUGGGUAGGGGAGCGUUCUGUAAGCCUGUGAAGGUGUACUGUGAGGUAUGCUGGAGGUAUCAGAAGUGCGAAUGCUGACAUAAGUAACGAUAAAGCGGGUGAAAAGCCCGCUCGCCGGAAGACCAAGGGUUCCUGUCCAACGUUAAUCGGGGCAGGGUGAGUCGACCCCUAAGGCGAGGCCGAAAGGCGUAGUCGAUGGGAAACAGGUUAAUAUUCCUGUACUUGGUGUUACUGCGAAGGGGGGACGGAGAAGGCUAUGUUGGCCGGGCGACGGUUGUCCCGGUUUAAGCGUGUAGGCUGGUUUUCCAGGCAAAUCCGGAAAAUCAAGGCUGAGGCGUGAUGACGAGGCACUACGGUGCUGAAGCAACAAAUGCCCUGCUUCCAGGAAAAGCCUCUAAGCAUCAGGUAACAUCAAAUCGUACCCCAAACCGACACAGGUGGUCAGGUAGAGAAUACCAAGGCGCUUGAGAGAACUCGGGUGAAGGAACUAGGCAAAAUGGUGCCGUAACUUCGGGAGAAGGCACGCUGAUACGUAGGUGAAGUCCCUCGCGGAUGGAGCUGAAAUCAGUCGAAGAUACCAGCUGGCUGCAACUGUUUAUUAAAAACACAGCACUGUGCAAACACGAAAGUGGACGUAUACGGUGUGACGCCUGCCCGGUGCCGGAAGGUUAAUUGAUGGGGUCAGCGCAAGCGAAGCUCUUGAUCGAAGCCCCGGUAAACGGCGGCCGUAACUAUAACGGUCCUAAGGUAGCGAAAUUCCUUGUCGGGUAAGUUCCGACCUGCACGAAUGGCGUAAUGAUGGCCAGGCUGUCUCCACCCGAGACUCAGUGAAAUUGAACUCGCUGUGAAGAUGCAGUGUACCCGCGGCAAGACGGAAAGACCCCGUGAACCUUUACUAUAGCUUGACACUGAACAUUGAGCCUUGAUGUGUAGGAUAGGUGGGAGGCUUUGAAGUGUGGACGCCAGUCUGCAUGGAGCCGACCUUGAAAUACCACCCUUUAAUGUUUGAUGUUCUAACGUGGACCCGUGAUCCGGGUUGCGGACAGUGUCUGGUGGGUAGUUUGACUGGGGCGGUCUCCUCCUAAAGAGUAACGGAGGAGCACGAAGGUUGGCUAAUCCUGGUCGGACAUCAGGAGGUUAGUGCAAUGGCAUAAGCCAGCUUGACUGCGAGCGUGACGGCGCGAGCAGGUGCGAAAGCAGGUCAUAGUGAUCCGGUGGUUCUGAAUGGAAGGGCCAUCGCUCAACGGAUAAAAGGUACUCCGGGGAUAACAGGCUGAUACCGCCCAAGAGUUCAUAUCGACGGCGGUGUUUGGCACCUCGAUGUCGGCUCAUCACAUCCUGGGGCUGAAGUAGGUCCCAAGGGUAUGGCUGUUCGCCAUUUAAAGUGGUACGCGAGCUGGGUUUAGAACGUCGUGAGACAGUUCGGUCCCUAUCUGCCGUGGGCGCUGGAGAACUGAGGGGGGCUGCUCCUAGUACGAGAGGACCGGAGUGGACGCAUCACUGGUGUUCGGGUUGUCAUGCCAAUGGCACUGCCCGGUAGCUAAAUGCGGAAGAGAUAAGUGCUGAAAGCAUCUAAGCACGAAACUUGCCCCGAGAUGAGUUCUCCCUGACUCCUUGAGAGUCCUGAAGGAACGUUGAAGACGACGACGUUGAUAGGCCGGGUGUGUAAGCGCAGCGAUGCGUUGAGCUAACCGGUACUAAUGAACCGUGAGGCUUAACCUUACAACGCCGAAGGUGUUU
rnacentral:rRNA from 1 species